CCUACGGGAGGCAGCAGUGAGGAAUAUUGGUCAAUGGACGCAAGCCUGAACCAGCCAAGUCGCGUGAAGGAUGACUGCCCUAUGAGUUGUAAACUUCUUUUGUACGAGAGUAAACUCCGGUACGUGUAUCGCGUUGCAUGUACCUUAUGAAUCAGGAUCGGCUAACUCCGUGCCAGCAGCCGCGGUAAUACGGAGGAUCCGAGCGUUAUCCGGAUUUAUUGGGUUUAAAGGGUGCGUAGGCGGGUUGUUAAGUUAGUGGUGCAAUGUGGGGGCUCAACCCCGAAACUGCCUCUGAUACUGGUAGACUAGAGUACAGUAGCGGUAGGCGGAAUUUAUGGUGUAGCGGUGAAAUGCUUAGAUAUCAUGAAGAACACCGAUUGCGAAGGCAGCUUACCAAACUGUAACUGACGUUGAGGCACGAAAGCGUGGGUAGCAAACAGGAUUAGAUACCCCAGUAGUC
rnacentral:rRNA from 1 species